UACAGAGGUCCCAAGCGUUGUUCGGAUUCACUGGGCGUAAAGGGUGCGUAGGCGGCCAAGUAAGUUUGAUGUGAAAUCCCGCAGCUCAACUGCGGAACUGCAUUGAAUACUAUUUGGCUCGAGGAAUGGAGGGGAGACUGGAAUUCUCGGUGUAGCAGUGAAAUGCGUAGAUAUCGAGAGGAACACCAGUGGCGAAGGCGAGUCUCUGGACAUUUCCUGACGCUCAGGCACGAAAGCCAGGGGAGCAAACGGG
rnacentral:rRNA from 1 species